UACGUAGGGUGCGAGCGUUGUCCGGAAUCAUUGGGCGUAAAGAGCGUGUAGGCGGCCACUUAAGUCCUGCGUGAAAUCUUGCGGCUCAACCGCAAGCGGUCGUGGGAAACUGGGUGGCUAGAGUGCGGGAGAGGAGAGUGGAAUUCCCGGUGUAGCGGUGGAAUGCGCAGAUAUCAGGAGGAACACCAAUGGCGAAGGCAGCUCGCUGGGACGGUACUGACGCUGAGACGCGAAAGCGUGGGGAGCAAACAGG
rnacentral:rRNA from 1 species